rnacentral:rRNA from 1 species
UGCAUGGCAGACGGGUGAGUAACGCGUGGGGAAUCUACCUUUUAGUGGGGAAUAACGCUCCGAAAGGAGUGGUAAUACCGCAUGAGACCGCCUCCUGGGAUGGGGGUGGUGAAACCUGGGGACCGCAAGGCCCGGGGCUAGAAGAGGAUCCUGCGUCUGAUUAGCUAGUUGGCGGGGUAAUGGCCCACCAAGGCGACGAUCAGUAGCCGGCCUGAGAGGGUGAUCGGCCACACUGGAACUGAGACACGGUCCAGACUCCUACGGGAGGCAGCAGUGGGGAAUUUUGCGCAAUGGACGAAAGUCUGACGCAGCAACGCCGCGUGGGUGAUGAAGGUCUUCGGACUGUAAAACCCUGUCGUCAGGGACGAAGGUGGCAGGACUAAUAAUCCUGUUGCUUGACGGUACCUGGAGAGGAAGCCCCGGCUAACUCUGUGCCAGCAGCCGCGGUAAUACAGAGGGGGCAAGCGUUAUUCGGAAUUAUUGGGCGUAAAGGGCGCGUAGGCGGUUUUUUAAGUCAGAUGUGUAAUCCCCGAGCUCAACUUGGGAACUGCAUCUGAGACUGGAAGGCUAGAGUACUGGAGAGGGUGGUGGAAUUCCUCGUGUAGCGGUGAAAUGCGUAGAGAUGAGGAGGAACACCAGUGGCGAAGGCGGCCACCUGGACAGUAACUGACGCUGAGGCGCGAAAGUGUGGGUAGCAAACAGGAUUAGAUACCC